rnacentral:rRNA from 1 species
CUUAGAUUUCUAAGAGUGACGGGCGAUAUGUGCAUCCUAAAUUUCUAUUUCACUUAAAAUUUUUCUUUUUAAUUUUUUUCAAGUCCUUUCCGUUAUUGUUUUCAUUUUGAUUCUUCGUUUUAAUUGUAUUCCAUUCCUUCUCGAACAUUCUUUGUCUUGAUUUGUGUUACAAUCCUUAUUUUAAAUACCAGAAAUAAUGUUUUUUUUUUCUUUUCUUUGACACAAUGAUAUGAAAAAUUAUAGUUAGAGUACGUUUAAUCGUGGGUUGUCGAUUGAUAGUCUCAGAAUCCCCUGAAUAGCUUUAGGACCGCCGUCAUGAUUAGUUUUCUCUUAUCUAGUUACUAUCUCUUUUUUGAUAAUA